rnacentral:rRNA from 1 species
UACAGGGGGUGCAAACGUUGCUCGGAAUUAUUGGGCGUAAAGCGCGUGUAGGCGGGAUGGCAAGUCGGGUGUGAAAGCCCUCAGCUCAACUGAGGAAGUGCGCCCGAAACUACUGUUCUUGAGUGUCGGAGAGGGUGGCGGAAUUCCCGGUGUAGAGGUGAAAUUCGUAGAUAUCGGGAGGAACACCAGAGGCGAAGGCGGCCACCUGGACGAACACUGACGCUGAGACGCGAAAGCGUGGGGAGCAAACAGG